AAUGAGAGUAGCGUACUCGCGAGUAUGUUACUAUAGUGAGUACUCGCUCUGAGGAGAGGAAGAAUGUGGUUAGUUCUGUAAAUAGUGAAUAUAUUUAAGGGUGUUAUUGUGAUUUAAGUGUCCAACGCUGUCGUUUUUAUGAUGAGAAUGCGAGAGUAUGAAUUUUGGUCGUGGGAUUGAGCGUUUGCUACAGAGGAAGGGGAGCGUGAUUGAUGGAGAGGUGUGUGAGAACA
rnacentral:misc_RNA from 1 species